rnacentral:lncRNA from 1 species
ACUUAUUUUUUUUUUCGUUCAUUUUUCUUUUAUAUAAUAAGGCCGUUAUUUUCUCGUUUGAAUUGUUUUACAUUGUCUUAUCGGGGCCUUUUAUAGCUGACUAUGCGGUAUGGGCUUUGCUCAUUGUUGAAGGCCGUAUGGCGACCUAUAAUUGUUAAUGUCUGCGUUAUUUUGGUCUCUUGUGGACAGUUGUCUCAUUGGCAAUCUUACCACAUCUUCUUUUUUAUAAUUCUAUUUGAAGUGAUGAUGCAAUGGCGGAAUUUAAAAGCGGUUGCAAAUACGUCUACCGACCUAUUAGAUUCUAAUUUACUGGUCACACUGCUAUAGUCUACCACCUUGGUAAUAUCGAAAUAGACAAAAAAUAUCAUUACUUAAAAGAAACAUUCAUUCAAACAAUCCAAUCCAAUACAGCUCCAAAUUACAAUGA